rnacentral:rRNA from 1 species
UACGUAGGGUGCAAGCGUUGUCCGGAAUUAUUGGGCGUAAAGAGCUCGUAGGCGGUCUGUCACGUCGGAUGUGAAAUCUCACGGCUUAACUGUGAGCGGCCAUUCGAUACUGCGAGGCUAGAGGUCGGUAGGGGGACAUGGAAUUCCUGGUGUAGCGGUGAAAUGCGCAGAUAUCAGGAGGAACACCGGUGGCGAAGGCGGUGUCCUGGGCCGAUCCUGACGCUGAGGAGCGAAAGCUGGGGGAGCAAACAGG